AUGUACUGAUCUUACCGUAUUACACACCGAGGCUGUCCACUAGCUCUGUCGCUUUCGUUCCACUUUCCUGGAUCCUUGCUUGCAACGAAACACGUCCAUGGACGGACGGACGGACGGAUAGAUUUCGUGGAGACGAGGUUACCAAAGAUGGAAUACAGGGCGAACGUCAUUCGACUCGAGCAAACAAUCCGUCCUACCUUCAUCUGAGCCCAACACUUCCGAGCCAUCGAGUCAGGGGUUGUCUCAACGAACAAAUGAAUGAACGACAAUACCUUAAGGCGCAGCGGACGGGUUCAAUGGAACAGAGUGUCUGGAACUCUUCUCAGCAUUUAUACAGUGACAUGUGGUUGCUACUCCGAUGAGCUACGAAAGGACAACCCGCCAAGGCCAGCAAUGCCUCAAUCAACUAUCACUCAAACACGACCACAUCCCCUAGUGCCGAUGAUGACGACCGCGGUGAUGAUGACCAACACCUACAAGUACUAGCAAACGCAUCAAGCUAAGAUCGAUAUGUUCAACAUCUCUCAUUACCUCUAGGUACUUGAACUCCUCGGUCACCAGCUUGCCCCCACGGUGCCACCAUCCCAAGAGUGACUUCCUAAGAUACCCAGCAUUAGACAUCAUGGAUUCAUGGCAAAGAAAGGACAAGGACAAGGACCAGGUGGACAUGCUGUGUUUCCCCACAGCACACAAUACACUACACACCAACACACGACUUACACCACAGACUUAAACCAUACGUUCUUAUAUCCGCUCGCCUCGGCCUCGGCUUGAAGAUUUUAUGGUAUAAGUGUCAUGUACGAUCCAACUAGAAUCUUGAUCGUGGUGUCAUCAACUACGAGUUUGACUUUAAUGAACAACUACCUGCUCAGCAUCACGAAAAAAGAAGGGGGCGAUACCUACGAACUGGUGAGGAGCAAUAAGCAGCUAAGCCUCAUCGUUUUACUUGACGACGUAUAGACCUCGCAACGCAAAGGAUUGAAAAAGUCCACUUAUAGGGGAAUGCCGUCGACCACAUACAUACAUAAUGGUUAAUGAGCUUUUAUGGCUAUAGAGUAGUCGCAUACCUUUGACCUUUUGCCUCUCUU